UGUAGCUCAGUGUUAGAGGAUUCACCUAGCAUGUGUGAGGGCCUGGGUUCAAUUCCCAGCA
rnacentral:tRNA from 1 species